rnacentral:rRNA from 1 species
AUGAUCGACAGAGGAGCUGGCAAUGCUACGAAGCAAGCUAGCUUGGGGCAACACUCAUGGUUGCCUCCGCCGGAGGGGCAUGCAAAGAUGAAUGUGGAUGCAACAGUGUCCUUGCAAGGGGAGUUUGGAGCAGUGGGAGCAGUGUGCCGAGACCAACAAGGACGCUUUUUGGGUGCUUCGAUCUUAAAACUUGAGUUCAUCACGGAUGUAAGCACACUAGAGGCAAUAGCAGUAAGGGAAGGCCAAUCGUUGGCCGAGGAUCUAUAUGAGAACUCCAUUCAAAUAGCAACAGAUUGCAAGAGGGUGGUUGAAGAUGUCCAGAAAAACUCGGCGGCUGGUUACGGCGCCAUUGUGCAUGAAAUAAUACUUCGUGCAAACGCUUUCUCUUCAUGUAAAGUAGUUCAUGAGUUCAGGAGCUCGAAUUUCGAGGCUCACAAUCUCGCUAGAUAUGCUUUGUCUUUAAAUUUUGGUCAUCAUGUAUGGCUAGGUCAACCAGGAAACCUUGAGUUUAUUCCUGUAAACAUUAUGGGCUAUGAAUAA